rnacentral:rRNA from 1 species
UACGAAGGGGACAUAGCGUUGUUCGGAAUCACUGGGCGUAAGCGCACGUAGGCGGAUAUGAUCAGUCGAGGGGUGAAAUCCCCGGGCUCAACCUGGGAAUGGCGAUGAAGACUGCAAGGCUAGGAAUCUGGCAGAGGGGGGUAGAAUUCCGACGUGUAGCAGUGAAAUGCGUAGAGAUGUGGAGGAAUACCGAUGGCCGAAGGCCAGCCUCCUGGGCCAACA